rnacentral:lncRNA from 1 species
GCUGGGAGAUGCAGUUCUGUGUACUUUUCUACGUCGGCGAGGCUGUCCUUUCUACCUCCGCGGGGCUGGCGAUUAAUCUCUUCCUCUCCUGCUCUGCUUUUUCACAUUCGCCCGGGACCCUCAGAUCUUUCGGCCUCCCUGUGAACAAACCACGCAUGUCACCUUCUGCUGGAUUCUGGUGUUUUCUACUUUCUACAGCUUCCAGGCCACCCACCUGGAGUCAUCAAGACCCAGUGCCUGCAGUCAACCGCCUUCCCAGCAUGCCCUGUUCCUAUGCCUUGGGCCUGGCCCCACGUCAGCUUUCACCUGGAAUUCUGCAAAGCCUCCUUGAGGUCUCCGAGCCUCAAUGCUCGACCUCUGCAGUCUCUUCUUUGCUGCAUCGAACGAGCAGAAUUGUAAACCUCAGUUCCGUUUCACUCCUCCCCUGCCUGAGACCCUUCGUGGUUCCCCAGGGUCCUCAGGACAAAGCCCGAGCCCCUUGGCCUGGCGAUCAGUGCCCUGUGCUCACCUCUCCAGCUCCAGCUCAGAUAGCUCUGCCCGCACAAGCUGGCUUUGCACCAGGGGGCCACCUUCCUCCCCUUCAGCCUCCUCCUCCCGAGGAGCCCUUGGGAUGCCACCUCCCAGGAGGCUCUCCCCCCCCGCCCCCGUCUCUACACCUGUCAUGAGCAGUUAUUGCCAUAGUUCUGCCUGACUAUGUCACGGUUGCAUCUUCUCUCUUCUCCGACCCCCAGCACAGUGCUUCUCGAGGGAGGUGCUUCCUCAAUAUUGUCGUCUCAUUUUAUAUUUGGAAAAUGAAAAAAAAAAAGAAUGUUUUUUUCCUUUGUCAGAAAUUUAAGAAAUAUAGGAAAGCAAAAAAAAAAAAAAAAAGGAAUAAUGUGUUUUCACUAACCUGACCUAGUCCCCGUGAUCAUUUUUGCUUGUUUCUACUUCUUUCUUUUUUUCUUUUUUGGCUGUAGCCAGGGCAUGCAGAGGUCCCCAGGCCAAGGACCAAACCUACACCACAGCAGUGACAAGAUCAGAUCCUCGAUCCACUGCCCCACCAAGGAACUCCUAUUUCCACUGCUUUCUAGGUCAUUUAAAAACAUUUCACAGGGGAGUUCCCAUCGUGAUUCAGUGGUUAACGAAUCCGACUAGGAACCACAGGUCACGGGUUCGAUCCCUGCCCUUGCUCAGUGGGUUAAGGAUCCGGCAUUGCCGUAAGCUGUGGUGUAGGUCACAGACGCAGCUCCGAUCCCGAGUUGCUGCGGCUCUGCUGUAGGCCAGCGGCUAUGGCUCCGAUUAGACCCCUAGCCUGGGAACCUCCAUAUGCCUUGGGUGUGGCCCUAGAAAAAGACAAAAAAAAAAAAAAUUAGACCUUAACAGAAAAACUAAAGUCUCUCUACCCCAGAGCCAAGUGGUGUCAAAUCAAUUAUCUUCCAAUCUUGUAAACACCUUUAUUUGUGCAUCGACUUAACCUGCAGAAAAAGGAGUGUGUGGUACUUUUUAUUUGUCGUAACAGUGUUUUGCUAUAAUAUGGUUUUUCACUCCACACUGUUUUUUGAGAUUAGUCCAUGUUACAUACAAAUUUUGAAGCAUAAUCUCCAGGCGACACCCGAGCUUCAAGGUGAAGGACCUGGAUUCAAAAUCCUGCUUAGUGCUUACUCCCUGUGUGAUUUUAUGUCCUGA